AUUGCUCAAUAUAGCUAACAACUCAUUUUAUGGACCCAUUUCUACUUUCUUAUGCCAAAAGAAAAUUAGAAAGAAUAAAUUAGAGGUUUUAGAUGCAUCAAACAAUAUCUUAUCAGGAGAACUUUCUCACUGCUGGAAGUAUUGGCAGUCUUUGAUCCAUUUAAACUUAGGGAGCAACAAUCUAGUAGGUAGAAUUCCCUACUCCAUGGGGGCUUUAGUUAACCUCCAAUCAUUGCGUUUACAAAACAAUAGCAUCUAUGGAGAUAUUCCUUCAUCGUUGAAAAUGUGUUCAAAUUUGAGGCUUAUUGAUAUGGGUGAUAAUCAUUUGUCCAUCGUACCACAAUGGAUUGGAGAAAUGACAAAUCUUUUAGUUCUCCGUCUAAGAUCAAGUGAAUUCAAGGGUUAUAUACCUCAACAAAUAUGCAAACUUUCUUCUCUUAGAGUAGUGGAUCUUGCCAAUAAUAGCCUAUCAGGAUCCAUACCAAACUGCUUGAAAAAUAUUAGCGCCAUGGCAUUACCAAAUUCCUAUGAUAUUUCAUUUUUUUCUAUGUCUUUUCUGUAUUCGAACAUAUAUGAAUACUAUGUUGAGAAUGUUCAACUGGUUCCCAAAGGGAAAGAAAUGGAAUACAAAGAGAACCUUAAAUUAGUUAGGCUCAUAGACCUUUCAAGUAACAACUUGUCCGGAUCAAUCCCUAUUGAAAUUUCAGAUCUUUCCGAAUUGUGUUUUUUGAAUUUGUCUUGAAAUCAUUUGAUGGGAAAGAUACCAGAAAAAAUUGGGAGUAUGAAAGAGUUAGAGUCAGUUGAUCUCUCACGAAACCAUUUAUCGGGUGAAAUUCCUCCAAGCAUGUCUAAUUUGACAUUUCUUAGUCUCUUGGACUUGUCAUACAACAACCUCUCAGGUAGAAUUCCUUCAAGCACCCAGCUUCAAUCAUUUGAUGCCCUUAGGUACAUUGGAAAUCCUCAGUUAUGUGGUGAUCCUCUUCCAAAAAGCUGCACAAUUGAGGAACAAUCUUUGAAUAGAUCACCAAUUGGUAAUGUUGAAGAUGAUUCUAAAAACACUAGCUUCUACAUUGGUAUGGGAGUUGGAUUCACAAUUGGCUUUUGGGCAAUUUGUGGAGCUCUCUUCUUUAAUAGGACUUGGAGGAACGCUUAUUUUAGAUUUGCUGAUGAAAUAAAAGAUUGGAUUUAUGUGACUACAAUGAUAAAGAUGAAUUUACUGGAAAAGCUAAAAGUCUGCCUUAAUAAGUGAGGCAUCGUUAUCUAGACAAAAGGCUAUGAAAACUCCUACAAUCCAAGACAAUUACAAUUUGAAGCAGACAUAAAUAAAUUGUUUGUAUUAAUGUGCAAAGAUAGGGACCAAAUCAGUAGUGUAGACCAUUUGAUUGGUUUUUAUUAACCUCUUUAAUGAAUUUUUUACCCAAUCAUGUUGAUAUACAUGCUUAUGUUUGAAGUAGUAACUGUAUGGAGUUUGAUGUUAUGGUCAUAUUAAUUAAAGCAAAUUUACCAUAACAAUGAGAUCUACCUUAAAUGACUUCCUCGUCCAUAAUAAUGAGAUAGAGGGUAAGGUUUUGAUUCAGAACUUACUGAAUGCAUAAUAUUCCAACAAUAAUAAUAAUGAUAAAAAAAGACUAGAUGUUGAGGUUCAACCCUAUCAAUUUCCAUAUAUUGUGUUAGAUCAAUUUGUAAUAAGUGAAUGCAUUAGUUAAGGAUUUUUAUUUUUAUUUUAAAUUUACUUUAAAAGAAGUGGUAAUUUAUCAUUGAGAUUGUGUUUGGAUGACCUUUUUUCUUUGUGGAAGGUGUUUGGAUGACCUUGUUUUGACUGUGUUACUUUGUUUAAAAAUAUGACUAUAGUUAUAAAAAAAAAAAGUGAGGCUUUCAAAAGAUUUACAUAAGUUGUUGGUGAAAUUAAAUUGACAUUGUAAUCUAAAAGUAAAAGAACCUUAACAUAUAAAGUUUAUGGUUAGGCAUCUACUAUUUUCUAGUUUCUGUCUUUGUGGUAUCUAAAGAUAGAAGUGAAUGUAGUAUUAUAAUAAUUAAGAAUUUUAUGUUGAAUCACCACUAUCAAAAAACUCCUUAAGUCUUAGUUAUUGAAAAAGUUGUAUUACUUGCAUGGUGAUAAAAGUCAAAUAAUAGUAGAUGUGACAUAACUUGAUCUUAAUGUUUGCCUUACUUCUAUCCAAGUUUCAGCUUGUUUGAUGUUGCGCAUCUAUUUAAAGUACUGUAACAAAGUGAAAUUUCUUUUAACUUGUUGAUUAAGCCAAAAUUGAACUUUUAAAUCAUGGAAUUGCAUUUUGAGUAGAUAUUAUUUUGUUUGUUCUCUCUACCACUUGGCUUCAUGUGAAUUUAUGCUACCUUUGUCAUUCAGUGUCCUUUAAUCUAAAUUUUUUUUUCUCAUUAACCGUUUGGGAAGGGAUGCUGAUUAGGCAAAAGCAGAGGAGUUCAAUGAUUGUAAAGCCUCUCUUGCUGAUCAACAAAAGCAGGUCUGAGAAAACAUUCAUGCACAAAUUAAAAGUUUCUCCAUGUGUAUAGAUGAAAUUCUUCUGCCUUAUAAUAAAAGGAUAGGUGAGGCACAAGAACUGCCUCCGCAACCAAUAGCUGCUUCUUGUCAAAGUGGCUUGGACUUUGUUGUUAGCAGGAAUGGCCAACCUACUGACCGUUCUGCUAAACAAGGAAUUCAACCAGUAUGUAACCUAAAACAUGACAUUAUUUGGGUUGAAACCUUGGAAACCAAAUUGAUUAUAAAGGUUACGUGAAGUUCUCAGUUUUGAUUGAUAUUCAACAGGGCCUUGAUUGGAAGUUGUUUUAUUGGAGGUAACACGUAUAGAGGUCCAGAUUAUUUUACUGCAAGAAAGUGCUGAUUAUGAUCAAUUCUCAUUUUAGUAUUUGGAUGGCAUGUUGCUGACUAAAAAAAUACAUGGCUUGAUGGAUAUGUGGGGAAAAAAAAGGGGAUCAACGUCUCUAGAAGUACAAGGAUGUCCUCCAAGCUGGACUUACGCCCUCUAGUUUAAUCUCCUUAUGUGCUACAACCGUUUGGGAAGGAAUGCUGAUGAGGCAGACGCAGAGGAGAUCAUAGAAUGGCCAGUAAAGCCUCUCUUGCUGAUCAACAAGUCCAAGAAAAUGUCCAUGCUCAGAUUAAAAUUUUCUGCAUGUCCAUGGAUGAAAUUCUUAUUCCUGAUACUAAAAGGAUAGUUGAUGCACAUGAAUUGCCUCCACAACCAACAGCUGCUCCUCCUUGAAGUGGCCUUGGUUUUGCUAUUGAUAGGAAUGGCCAACCUACUGACCAUCCUGGUAUGGGAGUUGGACUCACAACUGGCUUUUGGGCAAUUUGUGGAGCAGGCAUGCUUUUUUCAGAUUUGCUGAUGACAUUAAAGAUUGGAUGUAUGUCACUACAGUGAUAAAGAUGAAUUGAUUAUCUAAAUAGGCAAGAGUUUGCUUUUGCAAGUGAAAGGCAUCAUUAUCUACCUAAAAGGUAGAUAGUGGAGGAGGGGAAGAUGGGUUUCAACCACAGAUGGAUCACCAUAAAGGAUACCAUUACCACUAUACUACUAUUGGACUUUGUUUAGAGAUAUUUGAAGUGGACAACAGAGGAAACUCAUGGGAAUACCCUCAGUAGAACCAAAGUUGUACUAUGAUAGUAGAAAUUGUUUCUCAUAUACAUAAUGCAUCAAAUAGGUGGUUUAGAGUGCAUUUUUAUAUAUUUUUUCAAAUACAAUGCGUAGCAUGAUUUCUCACCUCAUGUUAUAAGCUUUAAUUCCAUAGAAUAUCAAAGAGGUGGGCUUGACAUGAAUUCUUAUAAUUCUCUAGCUUGUAUUUUCUUUCUAUCUUUUACAUCUCACAUAUCAGGGAACAAUGAAUUUCGUGUAUAUUCUCUUCAUAUCUAUGAUGUUGUUGUUUGCUGAUUUUUGUUUUUGUUGAUAAUCUUGUCUGCUGAUUGCUUGUCCUACUAUUGUGAAAUAGCAUGGGUUUCCUUGGUGGCAACAUUUCUGUGUCUAGUAUGCCACACUUAGUAUAUAAAACAAAAAGGUUCUGGA